GGAUAACUCAGUUGGUUAAAUCAUAGCACUCAUAACGCCAAGGUUGAAGGUUCAAUCCCUGUUUGAGACA